GAGUUUGAUCAUGGCUCAGGACGAACGCUGGCGGCGUGCCUAACACAUGCAAGUCGAGCGGAGGUAUAUACGAAGAAGUUUUCGGACGGAACUGUAUAUACUUUAGCGGCGGACGGGUGAGUAACGCGUGAGCAACCUGCCUUUCACAGGGGGAUAAGGCGGCGAAAGCCGCUCUAAUACCGCAUGAGACCACAGUGGUGAUGCUACAGGGGUCAAAGGAGCAAUCCGGUGAAAGAUGGGCUCGCGUCCGAUUAGGUAGUUGGUGGGGUAAUGGCCCACCAAGCCCGUGAUCGGUAGCCGGCCUGAGAGGGUGAACGGCCACAUUGGAACUGAGACACGGUCCAAACUCCUACGGGAGGCAGCAGUGGGGAAUAUUGGGCAAUGGGGGGAACCCUGACCCAGCAACGCCGCGUGAGGGAAGAAGGUUUUCGGAUUGUAAACCUCUGUUCUUGGGGAAGAGUGAAAGACGGUACCCAAGGAGGAAGCCCCGGCUAACUACGUGCCAGCAGCCGCGGUAAUACGUAGGGGGCGAGCGUUGUCCGGAAUGAUUGGGCGUAAAGGGCGCGUAGGCGGCUUUGCAAGUCAGUAGUGGAAGUCCAUUUUUCAAGGAUGGAAGUGCUACAGAAACUGCGGAGCUUGAGUGCAGGAGAGGUUAUCGGAAUUCCCGGUGUAGCGGUGAAAUGCGUAGAGAUCGGGAGGAACACCAGUGG
rnacentral:rRNA from 1 species